AACUUUUCUCGGACUUUUGGCUAAGAUCAAGUGUAGAAUCUGCUCUUAUUAGUUUAAUAUUUGAUAUGUGGACAAUAACUCAAUAAGUUCACGAUAUAACUCAAAUUAUCAAGGGGGAAAGCCCACUAAAGUAGCUUGCUACCUGGGCUGUCAACCGUCGCCCAUGCGUUGCACUACUGCAUGGGCCUGGCGCACCCCUC